rnacentral:tRNA from 1 species
GGAUAAGUAGUUCAGUUGGUUAGAAUGCCGCCCUGUCACGGCGGAGGUCGCGGGUUCGAGUCCCGUCUUGUCCG